rnacentral:rRNA from 1 species
UACGUAGGGGGCAAGCGUUGUCCGGAAUCAUUGGGCGUAAAGAGCGUGUAGGCGGCCAGGUAGGUCUGCUGUGAAAACUCGAGGCUCAACCUCGAGACGUCGGUUGAAACCGUCUGGCUAGAGUCCGGAAGAGGAGAGUGGAAUUUCCGGUGUAGCGGUGAAAUGCGUAGAUAUCGGAAGGAACAUCAGUGGCGAAGGCGACUUCCUGGACCAAUACUGACGCUCAGGUGCGAAAGCGUGGGGAGCAAACAGGG